CACAGAGAAAGGGGGAGAGUAGUAAUGAAAAGGUAGAGACACAGAGAAAGGGGGAGAGUAGUAAUGAAAAGGUAGAGACACAGAGAAAGGGGGAGAGUAGUAAUGAAAAGGUAGAGACACAGAGAAAGGGGGAGAGUAGUAAUGAAAAGGUAGUGACACAGAAAGGGGGAGAGUAGUAAUGAAAAGGUAGUGACACAGAGAAAGGGGGAGAGUAGUAAUGAAAAGGUAGAGACACAGAGAAAGGGGGAGAGUAGUAAUGAAAAGGUAGAGACACAGAGAAAGGGGGAGAGUAGUAAUGAAAAGGUAGAGACACAGAGAAAGGGGGAGAGUAGUAAUGAAAAGGUAGUGACACAGAAAGGGGGAGAGUAGUAAUGAAAAGGUAGUGACACAGAGAAAGGGGGAGAGUAGUAAUGAAAAGGUAGAGACACAGAGAAAGGGGGAGAGUAGUAAUGAAAAGGUAGAGACACAGAGAAAGGGGGAGAGUAGUAAUGAAAAGGUAGAGACACAGAGAAAGGGGGAGAGUAGUAAUGAAAAGGUAGUGACACAGAAAGGGGGAGAGUAGUAAUGAAAAGGUAGUGACACAGAGAAAGGGGGAGAGUAGUAAUGAAAAGGUAGAGACACAGAGAAAGGGGGAGAGUAGUAAUGAAAAGGUAGAGACACAGAGAAAGGGGGAGAGUAGUAAUGAAAAGGUAGAGACACAGAGA